CUGAUGUGACCUGUUUGUGUGGGUCGUGUAUCUUCCUCACUCCUCUCGAAAGAUUAGUCGUGUGCAUCCAGGCAUUGUUAGUGAGUAAUGUAAGUGUCGUGCGCAUGAAAGAAGUCGCCAGCUGCUGCUUUGUUGUGGCUUAUAUACCGGUUCCAGUUUUGGGACGCCGGACUGUUGCUUGCGCACUGUUGCUUUGAACGCCUUCAGUUCGCUAUUGUCUGUACAUCGCUUGCCUUGGAGACGCAAGAGCUUUGCCUCUUGUUCC